CUGAGUAUUGGAUUGUGUCACUUGCUUGUUCUGAGCCUAUUGAUAUGAUAAUGUGAUUGUCCUUUUUCAGACUUCCAUGUGAUGAAUUUCAUUAAUUUUCAAACUAGCUUUCCAGACCUAAGUUAAAUCCCAAUUGGUUUUAAUGUAUAAUUCUUUAUACAUUGUAGGAUUCAAUUUACUGAUAUUUUGUUGAGGAUUUUUGCAUCUAUGUUCAUGAGAAAUAUUGCUCUGUAGUUCUUUUAUGUCUUUGCGUGGCUUGGUAAUAGGGUAAUGCUAGUCUGAAAUAAUUAAAGAGUAUUCCUCCUGCUUCUGUUGUCUGAAAGAGGUUGUAGAGAAUUGGUACAAUUUCUUUCUUAAAUGUGUGGUAGAAUCACCAGUGAACCAUCAUACUACCAAGCCUGGUGCUUUCUGUUUUAGAAAGUUAAUUAUUGAUUCAAUUUAUUUAAUAGCUAUAGACCCAGUCACAUUUUCUGUCUCUUAUGAGAGUUUUGACAGAUUAUAUCAUUCAAGGAAUUUGCUCUUUUCAUUUAGGUUAUCAAAUAUCUUUUGGCUGUUAGGAUUUAUAGCUGUGACAUCCAUCAUGAUGAUUCAAAGAGCCUAAUCAUCCAAUAAAACAUGCAGAAAAGUUUACAUGGAUGAUGUUUAUCUGAAUUAUUUGCUCAAGAGACAGAUAACUGGAUUGAACUUGGGACCUUGCGCUUUCGAGGCAGGCAGAGGAACCACUGAGCUAAAUCUCCAGCCCCCAAAUUUCCUUUUCAUAGCGAAAUGAAAGAAGAAAUCUACCAUGGACCCAAAAUAGUUGGAUGACAGCUCUUAACACCCCUCCCCAAAAAAUAAAAGUAUAAAGAAGAG
rnacentral:lncRNA from 1 species